rnacentral:misc_RNA from 1 species
AAGUCGUAACAAGGUUUCCGUAGGUGAACCUGCGGAAGGAUCAUUACAAAUCUUUUGCGAGAGCUGCGUGCCGUUUACGGUGUGCAGUGACUCACAACAUUAGCACAGGGCCGCAAGGCUCUGAUGUUUACGCUUGUUUGUUUGACAGAGUUAGUUGAGAAUAAUAAAAAAAGACAACUUUUAACAAUGGAUCUCUUGGCUCUU